ensembl:misc_RNA Metazoa_SRP Metazoan signal recognition particle RNA
GCCAGGUGUGGUGGCUCACACCUGUAAUCCCAGCACUUUGGGAGGCCGAGGCAGGUGGAUCACCUGAGGUCAGGAGUUCAAGACCAGCCUGGCCAACAUGGUGAAACCCUGUCUCUA